rnacentral:lncRNA from 1 species
CAUUCCUUAGGACAAAUCACAGUUGCUGAAGAGAGGGGCAAAGAGAUUGUGGUAUUGUGCCCUUUUCUGUGGUAUUGUGCCCUAAGCUGCCUGUGCUUCUGCUACUAAUCUUGGACCCAGGCUCCUGUAAUGAGGCUGCCCUCAUUGAACUGAAUGUCCACCAAGCUACAGUUGAGUGGGAUCAUGUCUUUCGCCGUGGCUGGUUCACUCUCUGCAGUGAGGAUGGAGCCAUCGGCAUGAAAGUGGAUGCUGCUCAUGACCAAAACCGCUGGAGACCAGGUGCAGGAGGGGCAAACUGAUGCUUCUCAACAGACCGUGACACGGCUUUCUGAAAAUAAGCAGCAAUGACCAUUCGCCUUUCAGAAAACUCUAAAGACAAAGACAGGCGCGCAAGAUUUCAGUUAAGUCUGCAAAGGAGACAAUCAUGGGACACGGAGAUGGACGUAUCCAUAGCAACAGGGCUUGCCUCUCCUAAAAGACCUCAGACCUGCUCAUGAUCCAGCCACUGUCCAGCUCUGGAGGAGCCAGCCCAGACUAGAGUCAAUGUCAGUUUUGUCCAGUGCUCUUCAGCUUGUUCACAGGUUUAAAUACGCUUCAGCAGCUACCGAGCAGCGUUUUUAAAAAGCAGAAAGGAAACUUGAUAAUUAAAGAUUCAUAAAACAAUCUAGGAAAUCAACAUGGAAAGACCAUCAGUGGUUCUGAAAACUGAACACCAUGUAUAAAUGCUGUAUCUCGGAAGGUCCCAUCAAGUCCAAUAGUAUCAGGAGCUGAGAUCCAAGCCUUCAAUAUGAGUCUUUGGAAGAAAUCCACUAUCAUUAUUGUUACAAACAGCGAUGUUAUAGCGUGGCCCAGGGAAACAAGAAAUGCCUGAGUGACAUGCUAAUCCUAAAGGGCUGUCCAAGGAACUUAUUAAUCAAAUAAAGCUUCUUACUAAAGAGAUGUUAUCUCUUCUCUGUCAAACUAUAGGAAAGUUAUGAACUCUCAGAAAUU